AAUGAACGCUGGCGGCGUGCUUAACACAUGCAAGUCGUACGAGAACGCUUCUGCUUGCAGAGGCUAGUAAAGUGGCGCACGGGUGAGUAACGCGUGGGUAAUCUACCCCUGGAUUCGGGAUAACCCUUCGAAAGGAGUGCUAAUACCGGAUGAUAUCAUAUAGACUGCGGUUUGUAUGAUGAAAGAUGGCCUCUCCAAGGAAGCUAUUGUUUGGGGAUGAGCCCGCGUACCAUUAGCUAGUUGGUGGGGUAACGGCCUACCAAGGCAGCGAUGGUUAGCUGGUCUGAGAGGAUGAUCAGCCACACUGGAACUGACACACGGUCCAGACUCCUACGGGAGGCAGCAGUGAGGAAUUUUGCGCAAUGGGGGAAACCCUGACGCAGCAACGCCGCGUGAGUGAAGAAGGCUUUCGGGUCGUAAAGCUCUGU
rnacentral:rRNA from 1 species